rnacentral:rRNA from 1 species
GUGGGUAAUAUUGGACAAUGGGCGAAAGCCUGAUCCAGCCAUGCCGCGUGUGUGAAGAAGGUCUUCGGAUUGUAAAGCACUUUAAGUUGGGAGGAAGGGCAUUAACCUAAUACGUUAGUGUUUUGACGUUACCGACAGAAUAAGCACCGGCUAACUUCGUGCCAGCAGCCGCGGUAAUACGAAAGGUGCAAGCGUUAAUCGGAAUUACUGGGCGUAAAGCGCGCGUAGGUGGUUGGUUAAGUUGGAUGUGAGAGCCCCGGGCUCAACCUGGGAACUGCAUACAAGACUGGCGAGCUAGAGUACGGUAGAGGGUGGUGGAAUUUCCUGUGUAGCGGUGAGAUGCGUAGAUAUAGGAAGGAACACCAGUGGCGAAGGCGACCACCUGGACUGUUACUGACACUGAGGUGCGAAAGCGUGGGGAGCAAACAGGAUUAGAUACCCCUGUAGUCC